UUUUGGAGGUCACUCCUGUUGGAGUUUUUCCUGAGAGCCUAUGACUUGGGUGUUUUUGUUGCUCAUUUCCAGCUUACUCUGAGAAGAUUGCUCUCAUAAGGACCUGAAUCAAUGGUACCAGAUGAUUGUAUUGUGAAGGCCAGGGUAAAAUGCUAAUCUUAUGUCACUUUGCAGGAAAGAUACCAGAUUUGUGACUCUGAGGAACUUGGACAAAACGGGUGUACCCAUGGUUAUGGAUAUGGAAGUCUGGAUUCUACACAUGCUUUAUCCUGCUUUCUAGCAAGUAAAAGAGAUUCUAGGGAAGAAUUAGUAAAACUAUUAAGGAGGCAACAUGUUGUCAAGUAUAAAGUAGGACUGUAGCUCUUGUUUUCCUGGCUCUCCAAUUAUAUUUCUAAUCCAAAAACUAGACCCUAAUUUUAUGUCUUGCUGAAGGCAAGUUUUGUUUAACUAGUAUUGGAGGGAAAGCCAAGCAAAUAAAAAACAGCUUAGUGCCUUCUCUCCCUUUCAGGUAACAAAUAACCCAAAUAAGAUGAAUAGGUACUGAAGUGAACCUGACCUUAAGAUCCUCUGAUGGAUUUAGAAACUGGAAAAUGCUACCAGAAGAUACUGCCACAGUUUUUUAUUUGCAGUUGUGUAAAAUACUUAUUUAUAAUAGUUCCAUGUACCUGAGGGUAGGAACUUUCUUGGUUCUCUGUGGGCUUAAGACAGGUGCACUUUUGUGGUGAAGACCACUUCUGGCAUCUUAUUUGCCUGGUAUUGUGGGUACAAAAUAAAGCAACUCUGUUGGCCUGACGUGAAUUUCUUUUCUAUCUUCAUAGAAAAAAAUGACCAGACUAAACAAAAUAUGUGUUAAUUUCCAAGUUUUGCUAGAGAACUUUGACAGAAAGCUGUUCUUUCAAGAACAAGCUAGCAGCUAACACAAAUGGUAUGAGCAUGGAAAUGGGGCUAGAGUGGUGGAGAUCAUUCUCACAAGGCACUGUGUGUCAAAGAUUCACUGAAUUUUGGUUGGUGAAACAUGUUUUCUCUAAAUCACUUAAUACAAUCUACUUUCAUUGUGAGCAUGUGAGAAACAGAUUUAGCCUCUUGACCUCCAUGGCUUGGAACAGCCUGUGACAAUAACUUAAACUCUAAGGUAGAGAGAGCACUGGACUUCCUAGCAGCACAGAGCUCUAGCUACAAGGAAGUACACUGUGUGUGCUUUCUCUGAAGUGCAUGAUUGGGUCUGGAGAGAGACACUUUGACACAGACUGCUUUUGAGAACAGAUUGUAAAAGGCUUUGUUUCCAUUCCACUGCAAAAUGGCAAAAGACUUCAAAAUAUUGAAUAGUGUCAGGAAAUGGGCUUUCAACCUUUAGUUAAGCUUCCGUCAUCCCACUGCUCCAUUCAGAUUAAAUUAUUUUGAACAAAUAUUUUCAGGAGAACAGAGAAAAUAUAAAAAGUACUAUGUAAUACAUAGAAUGUUGUUCCAUAUGUCAGUGCUGUUUUACUUGUUAUACUCACUGUUAAGUUUAUGAGCAUCUUAUUGUUAUACAGCAUGAUGAAAAUGAAUUCUAAAUAGAGUAUCAAAAUUAAAAACAUAUGACGUCUGUUGAC
ensembl:lncRNA